rnacentral:rRNA from 1 species
AAAUACUACUGACUGACCGAUAGUGAACCAGUACCGUGAGGGAAAGGCGAAAAGAACCCCUGUGAGGGGAGUGAAAUAGAACCUGAAACCGUGUACGUACAAGCAGUAGGAGCAGGCUUUGUCCUGUGACUGCGUACCUUUUGUAUAAUGGGUCAGCGACUUAUAUUCAGUGGCAAGGUUAACCAUCUAGGGGAGCCGUAGGGAAACCGAGUCUUAACUGGGCGUUCAGUCUCUGGAUAUAGACCCGAAACCAGGUGAUCUAGCCAUGGGCAGGUUGAAGGUUGAGUAACAUCAACUGGAGGACCGAACCGACUAAUGUUGAAAAAUUAGCGGAUGACUUGUGGCUAGGGGUGAAAGGCCAAUCAAACCUGGAGAUAGCUGGUUCUCCCCGAAAGCUAUUUAGGUAGCGCCUCGGACGAAUACUACUGGGGGUAGAGCACUGUUAAGGCUAGGGGGUCAUCCCGACUUACCAACCCUUUGCAAACUCCGAAUACCAGUAAGUACUAUC